GAAAAUUUUCUCAAGAGUAGUACUUUUUUUUCUCAGUGCAAAGUAAAAUUUUAAUUUAGCGGUUCUUUGGAGAUUGAAAAGGUUAAAUCAGUAGUCGUGGAAACGAAAUGGAUAAAAGAAAUUGGCAAACAAAAAUCGUCAUCAUCGAGGUGGGUCAGUAGGUCGCCGCCAUGUUAAUUACUUGGAAUCCAUCAGCUCUCCCACCGUCAGAUAAAUAUAUCUAUAUAUAUUACUUUAUACAUAUACAGCAUAUUGCAGUAAAACAUUCUCCCUUUCAAACUCGUCUCUUACUCUCUUGCAGCGAACCCAGAUCUUUCUUCUCAUAAUGAUAAUCCUCAUCUUGUGAACGAUGAGCGACGACGAGUUUGGAGUUUGGUGAGAUCCGGACUCUCUUUUCUUCGAGCUCCGAGAUGUCUCUUGGCUACUAUUGCCUCUUUUUAAUCAACCUCUUCACUCUAACCAGUCCAAGACUGUUGCUGGUUGCUGUUACUAUGAUAUGCCGGGAGAUUUACAAUACCGCAGGAAUUAAUUUUGCUCGGAUUUCCCACCUGAGGCAACGGUGUCUCGCGUACGUGCUACGAUUGUCCAGAGAAAUUCCUCGCCUUUAACGGUGGAAAAGCAUCGGCUAUCUUAGCCCCAAAGAGAUUAAUGACGAGCCUAUCCAUGCGACGAUGCACCAAGAGUUUCUAUUUCUCGGAAGCGGAUUUCCGCAUGCAGCCUGCCAAUUCAAUGAGAAACUUUUGAUAUAAUAAAAAAAGAAAAAAAAACCAGUAAUGCUACUUUUUAUUAGUAACUUUUGCCAAUACUUAAAGGCUUCUGUCAAGUAAAUAAACAACAGUAAAGCGCAGAUACUUUCUUCACUUCUUACAUAAAAUUUCUUCUCGGCACAUGUAUUUAUUGCGUAAUAAGAAAAGAACGUUACAUAACUUUCGAGAUUUUUAAAUCAGCGAAGAAUCUUCUUAUAAUCUCUUCUUAAACUCAGUCACCAGAUGAUUCCAUUGAAAUUUAAACGCAAGGUCUAAUGACUUAAGCAAUGCUUGGGUACAAAACCACAGGCCGACUUUAUAAACGCAUAUUUAGCAUUCCUAUCUCUCGUAUUUACUCCUAAGACACGCCUCUCUAUCCUUCCUUAUGCUUUAGACGGUGAACAGCAUACCCAUAUAAUGCCCUACGCACAACACUACAACAGCCUUUUUUUCUACGCUCAUAUUCUUACCAAGGGUUAUAAUCGCUGCAACAGAUACCUACAUCGUGCGAUGUAAACAACUUAAUAACACGAUGAAAAAAUUUAUCGCUGAAUUCUUGUCUAUCCGAUGUGCUGAUGAAGCGGAUCCUUGUGAAGAUAUGAAAGAAUUUUUAUAAUUAAUAAAAUGCUAAUAUUUAUUAUUCAAACAAGAAGAUCCAGCAUGUAAAAGUAAUUAUUAGUUAAAUAGAAAAAUAUAAAAUAAAAGUGACGUUAAUGCGUGACUGCAUUUUAUUCGCCUAGGAGUCUUCGAUUAGAAUAACGGGAGACACGAAUGCUUGGUAAGUAGUGUGAUUCCCCACGGAUGAUUUGCCUCAAGCUUUUAAUGCCGAAAGAUCCUUUACUCGCUUAUUAUUACAGCUUCUUAUUAUUAUUAUUAUUAUUAUU